GGUUGUAAAUGUGUCUUUUCUCAGUACGACCAUGUAUCACUCAGAUCUGCGAUGUGUCAUUGUGAGAGUUGGACACUACCAAAAACCCACACAAAAUGUUGUAGUUCUGAGAACAAAGUUUUCCUCUGCAGUUCCGCUGACUAAUGACAACAUCGAGUCCGUCCUACAACAAGUUAGUCUCUUUUUAUCCUAUCACAACAUC